rnacentral:rRNA from 1 species
UUGCGGUUAAAACGCUCGUAGUUGGAUAUCUGCUAAGGGGUUCCGGUCCUUCCAAGUGGAGAAUACGCGGAACUCUUCUUGGCAUUUGUUCAGGGAAGAUGUUUGCACUUCAUUGUGUGUCAUUUGAUCUGAAUUUUUACUUUGAGGAAAUGAGAGUGUUUCAAGCAGGCUUUCGCCGUGAAUAUGAUAGCAUGGAAUAAUAGCAAGGACCGUGUGUCAGAGCUGUUGGUUUUUGGCACGUGGUAAGUUUUAAUAAGGGUAGUUGGGGGUAUUCGUAUUUAACUGUCAAAGGUGAAAUUCUUGGAUUUUUUAAAGACGAACUAUUGCGAAGGCAUUUACCCAGGAUGUUUUUAUUGAUCAAGAACGAAAGUUAGGGGAUCGAAGACGAUCAGAUACCGUCCUAGUCUUAACCUUAAACUAUGCCGACUGGGGAUUGGACGUUGUCAACUUCUGACACGUUCAGCACCCUGAGAGAAAUCUAAGUCUUUGGGUUCCGGGGGGAGUAUGGUCCGCAAGGCUGAAACUUAAAGGAAUUGACGGAAGGGCACCACCAGGAGUGGAGCCUGCGGCUUAAUUUGACUU